rnacentral:tmRNA from 1 species
GGGGGUGACCGGUUUCGACAGGGAUAGAACCGGUUGCGGAUGCGUGUCGGGGAGAUUACCUACCCGUAAAUCACGGUGAUACAACCUAACUGCGAACGAUAACUUCGCACUGGCAGCUUAACACUGCCACGCUCCCGCAGACCGGGUUUCCGGGUUUGCGACGAGUGACAUAAACAGGGAACUUUGGCCGAUCCACCGCCCGAGGGUGAGGCCGAGAACUUAGGGCUGGCCCAGCCGUGGUCUGGCUGUCUUCCUCCGGACUGGGCGAGAUCAAAGACCGCCUACACACGUAGAUUCCGCUUUUGGUGUAUCUUUGGACGCGGGUUCGACUCCCGCCACCUCCACCA